rnacentral:lncRNA from 1 species
CGUGGUGAGGUCUUUCAAGAAUUUUGUAUAGGAGGAAAUUUGUCUUAUGGCAUCGAGAAAAGGUAUAUUUAUUUGAACAGUUUUAAAGACUUCCAUGAUUUCAUCAAAGUUAGAUUGUUUCUUGGAGUCCUGAAGUCUACUGGGAAAGGGAACCUUGGGUUUGUAUGUUUCUAUGGGUUCUUCCCUUUUUUCCGGUUUGUCCUGUUCUUGACCCCUCUUCUGAAUAGGGUUCUUAUCGGAUUCAGUUUUAUUUUCUUUUUCAUGUUCAGGAAGUUGAACUUUAUUGUCCACUUGUUUGCCAGACCUU